GACGAACGCUGGCGGCGUGCCUAAUACAUGCAAGUCAAACGAGAGCGACCGGUGCUUGCACUGGUCAAUCUAGUGGCGAACGGGUGAGUAACACGUGGGUAACCUGCCCAUCAGAGGGAGAUAACAUUCGGAAACGGAUGCUAAAACCGCAUAGGUCUUCGAACCGCAUGGUUUGAAGAGGAAAAGAGGCGCAAGCUUCUGCUGAUGGAUGGACCCGCGGUGCAUUAGCUAGUUGGUGAGGUAACGGCUCACCAAGGCCGUGAUGCAUAGCCGACCUGAGAGGGUGAUCGGCCACAUUGGGACUGAGACACGGCCCAAACUCCUACGGGAGGCAGCAGUAGGGAAUCUUCCGCAAUGGACGCAAGUCUGACGGAGCAACGCCGCGUGAGUGAAGAAGGUUUUCGGAUCGUAAAACUCUGUUGUUAGAGAAGAACAAGUGCUAGAGUAACUGUUAGCGCCUUGACGGUAUCUAACCAGAAAGCCACGGCUAACUACGUG
rnacentral:rRNA from 1 species